GACAGAGGGGGCAAGCGUUGCUCGGAAUUACUGGGCGUAAAGGGCGCGUAGGCGGGAUGGCAAGUCGGUCGUGAAAUCCCUCGGCUCAACCGAGGAACGUCGAUCGAUACUGCUGUUCUUGAGGAUUGCAGAGGAGACUGGAAUUCCCGGUGUAGCGGUGAAAUGUGUAGAGAUCGGGAGGAACACCGGUGGCGAAGGCGGGUCUCUGGGCCGAUACUGACGCUGAGGAGCGAAAGCGUGGGGAGCGAACAGG
rnacentral:rRNA from 1 species